GAGUUUGAUCCUGGCUCAGAACGAACGCUGGCGGCAUGCCUAACACAUGCAAGUCGAACGGGAUCCAGGCUUCGGCCUGGUGAGAGUGGCGGACGGGUGAGUAACGCGUGGGAACCUGCCCAAUGGUCUGGGAUAACCGCGGGAAACUGCGGCUAAUACCGGAUAAGCCCGAGAGGGGAAAGAUUUAUCGCCGAUGGAGGGGCCCGCGUCCGAUUAGGUAGUUGGUGAGGUAACGGCUCACCAAGCCGACGAUCGGUAGCUGGUCUGAGAGGAUGAUCAGCCACACUGGGACUGAGAUACGGCCCAGACUCCUACGGGAGGCAGCAGUGGGGAAUAUUGGACAAUGGGGGCAACCCUGAUCCAGCAAUGCCGCGUGAGUGAUGAAGGCCUUAGGGUUGUAAAGCUCUUUUGGCGGGGACGAUGAUGACGGUACCCGCAGAAUAAGCCCCGGCUAACUUCGUGCCAGCCGCCGCCGU
rnacentral:rRNA from 1 species